AAUUUUAUAUAUAUAAUAUAAAGAAUUAUAAUUUUCAAGGAAAUUAAGCCUUGUUUUUUAAAUGUUAUACAUAAAUGUUAUAGAAUACUUCAUGAUUAUUUACAUGUUUCUCUAUUACUGUACAGUGAUUUUAAACAAUAUAUUUUUUAAUGCUUUAAUACAAUAAUUGUACUUUAAAAAUAAGCAUACAUUUAGAGCAAUACAGCAGAUUCUUUACCAUUUAAAUAAAUAUUAUAAUUUUUUUUCCAUUAUGGUUGGGGAGAAUUAUAAUUCUAAAUAAAUAAUAAUGGUCCGAAAAUAGGCUUCAUUCAACACAAUUAAAUUUUUUCUUCUGGUUGUGGGGUGACGUGUUAUUGGCAGGCUUUGUGAGUUUCAAUUAAUGAUCCAAAGCAAGAAAGCUUUCUAUACUCUCUCCUUCUCAUCCGCUUUUCUGCAGAAUCCGGUCUGUGCUACAGUACAUUUUGUUCUUGCUCUUCAGAUCUUUAUCAGCUGUUUUUUCUUCAUUUUUCUAUCAAGCCCUCAAUACCACGAACUGUUUCACCACCUCUCUUUGGCAAGGAGUAUGCAACCACAUUCUACACUCUAUAAGUAUAUACAUAUUUUAAACAUGAUAUGAAAGUGUGAACUGUACCUGUGUAUCACUACCUCGCAUUGCAUUGUGGACUGUGUGUUCCAGGUGGACUGUUUUUUGGGGGGGGGUUUAUGAUUGGAUGGUGUCGGAGUAGCAUUGAGCAGAUGGAGUUAGAUUAUUCAGUUACUUAAUUACUUGUGUCCUUGACAUGCAUGUCCACCAAUCAGUGAUGUGCUCAAUUCAAUCAGCAGAGUAUUGUUUAAAUGAAUAUGCUGCUUUGCAGAUGACCCAGAAUGUCCUUUUAUAAUUAUAAAACACUUGUUUUGUGCAAAUACAUUGUUUCUAACAUGAUUUGUAAUAUGUACAGAUUAAAUUUCAUAUAACUGACUCGAUCAGAAAAAAAAAACAGCUGCAUUGUCUGGUAAUGAAUUGCUUACUCCAAACAGGCCCUGUAUUGCACCACUUUGCUUUAGAGUCACAUCUUAGGUCCCUCAAAGGUCAACUGAUGAAUGUAUGUCUUCUCUCUAUACUGUUGUUAUUAAGAGACGUAUAAGAGCACUGUAAUCUCCUGGGCUUCACCCGCAGCUACUUUAACCAUUUCAUCACGGCUUUCUGAUCAAACUUUCUAGUUACUUUGCAUGUAGCGAUAUGCAUAUUAAAUUAUAUCAACUGUAUAUUUGAUCCUUUUUUUUAGGAAAAAAAAUAAAGUUAAUGUUUCAAUCCACUA
ensembl:lncRNA